rnacentral:rRNA from 1 species
UACAGAGGUCCCAAGCGUUGUUCGGAUUCACUGGGCGUAAAGGGUGCGUAGGCGGCCGGGUAAGUCUGACGUGAAAUCUCCAAGCUCAACUUGGAAACUGCGUCGGAUACUAUCCGGCUAGAGGAUCGGAGGGGAGAGUGGAAUACUUGGUGUAGCAGUGAAAUGCGUAGAUAUCAAGUGGAACACCAGUGGCGAAGGCGAGUCUCUGGACGAUUCCUGACGCUGAGGCACGAAAGCCAGGGGAGCAAACGGG